UCCCUGGCAGAUGUCUGUUCUCUUCGCUCCAUCAACAAUGAACUGAGGAUCAGAACACAGCUCCUGAUUGGACGAGACAGCAGGAAGUCAGGAGAGUUACACUGAACAAAUCAGCAGCGACAUCAUCAUCAGUCGACUCUGAGGCUGUUAGCCAGUGAACAGUUAGCAUGUGGUUAGCAUGUUGUUAGCAUGUUGCUCACAAAGACAGUUUUCUGGUUAAAAGAUGAAGCACCAAGAUUUGUCCUGAUGGAGGAAAUAAGUGACGUGGAAGAUUUGAAGAUGAAUACUUCACUUUUCACUUGUCUGUAGUUUCCAGUGUGAGGAACCUCAGAGGAAUAUUUAAAUAUACAGUAUAUACGUAAUACAUACAUACUUUGUGAUACAUAAUAUAUUCAUUACUGUUUAAACAGAGAGGCUGCAGAAAUAACUCAAGACAAAUAACUGAGGCCCAGAAGAGUUACUGAAGCCAUGUUGCUCUGUAUUUACUUACUGUAACUUACUGUUUCAUUAGAGUGUCUGAACUCUGAACAUACAGUUCUGCUCUUUAUAGUGAUGAAGACCACAAAGUGAGUCAAACUCUCAUUUUAUUAACAGGAGGUGGUUUUAAUUUAUCUUCAAUAUCCUUAAACUGGCAAAAGACUGUUGAAUCUGGCAACCUGCGCUACAGCUGGAGACGCCUCCUAACUCCUCCUAAAACCCCAGAUUAAACAAACCAGAUAUAACGUGUUAAUCAGUGAACUUAAAGGUGCUGGCAGGUGGAGUUUGUAACCUCUGGACAGAGCCAGGCUAACUGUUUCCCUGUCUCCAGUCUUUAUGCUAAGCCUGGUAGCAAAUGUUCUGAGGCCUGUACUGGUCCACGGCCCAGGGGUUGGGAACUUCCCCAGCAACCUGACAGAAACCUGAACCAGAGGAGGUUACCAUGGUGACCACACACACACAAAACACUGUUAGCUGGUCAAACAAACUGCUCCUGUCACAUCUUUAUUGUGUUUCAGAGUGUUAAAACAUAUUAACUCUGGUUUUAUUAUUACAGAGGGGGUCGUAUGCUGUACAGAUUGUAAAGCUCCCUGAGGCAGAUUAGUGAGUUGCGAUACUGGGCUGUAUAAAUAAAGUUGACUUGACUGUGUGGGAUGUUAAAAGUGUCUCAGGUAGUGUUGAACUCACAGAGAAUUCUCUCCAGCUCUGUGAAGCUUUCAGCCUCUUUUAGCUCCUAGUUUUGGUUUUGCAGCACAUUUCCUGUCUGGUUCAGUCUCGGUGUUUUCAGCUGCAGCAGUCAGAGAUUCAGUUUACUCAUUAAACUGAAUCUCUGACUGUUGACCGAACAAAACAAGGACUCUGAGAAACUGAGAUUUACAUUCCUAAAUUACUAGAUGAGUCCAAACUGAUCAACAUGAAUCAAUCCUGAAAAUAAUCAAACACACUCAGUGUCUC